rnacentral:rRNA from 1 species
UACGAGGGGGGCAAAUGUUGUUCGGAAUCACUGGGCGUAAAGGGAGCGUAGGCGGGUUCUUAAGUAAGGUGUUUAAUCCCGGGGCCCAACCCCGGACCGGCACUUUAAACUGGGAAUCUUGAAUAGUGGAGAGGUCGGUGGAAUUGGGGGUGUAGCGGUGGAAUGCGUAGGAGACCUCCCAAGAACACCAGUUGCGAAGGCGGCCGACUGGACACAUAUUGACGCUGAGGCUCGAAAGCAUGGGGAGCAAACAGG